AUUGAACGCUGGCGGCAGGCCUAACACAUGCAAGUCGAGCGAGCGGAGGAGGGGUGAGGACUGUAUGGGGACUGCCCGUUAGAGGGGGAUAACUACUGGAAACGGUAGCUAAUACCGCAUACUAUCGGAUAACCCAUAUGGGAUUAGCUAGUCGGUGAGGUAAUGGCUCACCUAGGCGACGAUCCCUAGCCGGUCUGAGAGGAUGAUCAGCCACACUGGGACUGAGACACGGCCCAGACUCCUACGGAGGCAGCAGUGGGGAAUAUUGGACAAUGGGGGAAAGCCUGAUGGAGCCAUGCCGCGUGUAUGAAGAAGGCCCUAGGGUUGUAAAGUACUUUCAGUCGGGAGGCGUUACCGACAGAAGAAGCACCGGCUAACUCCGUGCCAGCAGCCGCGGUAAUAC
rnacentral:rRNA from 1 species